AUAAAACAUGUGACCAACUCUGCUGUAGGCUCUAGAAUUCAAGGAUCCAUUUAGAAUAGAUCAUGGUUUAGAUGAGUGGUGCAUUGAUGUUGACGUACUGAGAUACUAGAAUUAUAGAAUGUGUUAUGAUCAAUCCCAUGAAGCUGAUUUAGGUGUGUCUUUGGGUCGUCUUGCACUUAUUCAGUUUCAUUUAUCAGGAGAUGAAACUGAAUAACAGAAAUAGUAGAGGGUUGUUUUACAUUGAGGGAGAGGGAGCUGAGCUUUGGUGUGCUCCAACCCAAUUUAACCUACGUAUGUAUUACA